rnacentral:rRNA from 1 species
CCAGACUCCUACGGGAGGCAGCAGUGGGGAAUAUUGCACAAUGGGGGGAACCCUGAUGCAGCGACGCCGCGUGGGUGAAGGAGCACCUCGGUGCGUAAAGCCCUAUCGGCAGGGAAGAAGGAGGACGGUACCUGACUAAGAAGCCCCGGCUAACUACGUGCCAGCAGCCGCGGUAAUACGUAGGGGGCAAGCGUUAUCCGGAUUUACUGGGUGUAAAGGGGGCGCAGACGGCAGCGCAAGCCAGGAGUGAAAGCCCGGGGCCCAACCCCGGGACUGCUCUUGGAACUGCGCGGCUGGAGUGCAGGAGGGGCAGGCGGAAUUCCUGGUGUAGCGGUGAAAUGCGUAGAUAUCAGGAGGAACACCAGUGGCGAAGGCGGCUUACUGGACUGUAACUGACGUUGAGGCUCGAAAGCGUGGGGAGCAAACAGGAUUAGAUACCCGAGUA